rnacentral:rRNA from 1 species
CUACGGGCGGCUGCAGUGAGGAAUAUUGCACAAUGGGGGGAACCCUGAUGCAGCAACGCCGCGUGGAGGAUGACGCAUUUCGGUGUGUAAACUCCUUUUAUAUGUCAAGAAAAUGACGGUAGCAUAUGAAUAAGCACCGGCUAACUCCGUGCCAGCAGCCGCGGUAAUACGGAGGGUGCAAGCGUUACUCGGAAUCACUGGGCGUAAAGGACGCGUAGGGCGGGUGGAAAGUCAGGUGUGAAAUCCUACAGCUUAACUGUAGAACUGCACUUGAAACUUCUAAUCUAGAGUAUGGGAGGGGGAGAUGGAAUUAGUGGUGUAGGGGUAAAAUCCGUAGAUAUCACUAGGAAUACCUAAAGCGAAGGCGAUCUCCUGGAACAUUACUGACGCUAAGGCGUGAAAGCGUGGGGAGCAAACAGGAUUAGAUACCCCAGUAGUC